CUACGGGUGGCUGCAGUGGGGAAUAUUGGACAAUGGGGGCAACCCUGAUCCAGCAAUUCCGCGUGGAUGAUGAAGGUUUUCGGAUCGUAAAGUCCUUUUAGUUGGGAAGAUAGUGACGGUACCAACAGAAAAAGCACCGGCUAAUUACGUGCCAGCAGCCGCGGUAAGACGUAAGGUGCAAGCGUUAUCCGGAAUUACUAGGCGUAAAGGGCAUCUAGGCGGCUAUAUAAGUCAGAGGUGAAAAGUCUGGGCUCAACCGAGGCCUUGCCUUUGAUACUGUAUAGCUAGAGUACGGGAGAGGAGGGCGGAACUACAAGUGUAGAGGUGAAAUUCGUAGAUAUUUGUAGGAAUGCCGAUUACGAAGGUAGCUCUCUGGACCGAUACUGACGCUAAAGUGCGAAAGCUAGGGGAGCAAACAGGAUUAGAUACCCCCGUAGUC
rnacentral:rRNA from 1 species